UUCCGGUUGAUCCCGCCGGACCUGACUGCUAUCGGAUUGAUACUAAGCCAUGCGAGCCUUUGCAGUAAUGCAAGGCAUACGGCUCAGUAACACGUAGUCAACUUACCCUAUGGACGAGGAUAAUCUCGGGAAACUGAGCAUAAUACUCGAUAGAUCAUAAUGCCUGGAAUGGUUUAUGGUUGAAACGAUUCGUCGCCAUAGGAUAGGACCGCGGCCUAUCAGCUUGUUGGUGAGGUAAUGGCCCACCAAGGCGAUUACAGGUACGGGCUCUGAGAGGAGAAGCCCGGAGAUGGGUACUGAGACAAGGACCCAGGCCCUAUGGGGCGCAGCAGGCGAGAAAACUUUGCAAUGUGCGAAAGCACGACAAGGUUAAUCCGAGUGAUUUCUGCUAAAGAAAUCUUUUGCAAGUCAUAAAACCACUAGUGAAUAAGGGGUGGGCAAGUUCUGGUGUCAGCCGCCGCGGUAAAACCAGCACCUCAAGUGGUCAGGAGGAUUAUUGGGCCUAAAGCAUCCGUAGCCGGCUCUGUAAGUUUUCGGUUAAAUCCAUGUGCUCAACGCAUGGGCUGUCGAAAAUACUGCAUAGCUAGGGAGUGGGAGAGGUAGACGGUACUCGGUAGGAAGGGGUAAAAUCCUUUGAUCUAUCGAUGACCACCUGUGGCGAAGGCGGUCUACCAGAACACGUUCGACGGUGAGGGAUGAAAGCUGGGGGAGCAAACCGGAUUAGAUACCCGGGUAGUCCCAGCUGUAAACGAUGCAGACUCGAUGAUGCAUUGGCAUAUAGCCAGUGCAGUGUCGCAGGGAAGCCGUUAAGUCUGCCGCCUGGGAAGUACGUACGCAAGUAUGAAACUUAAAGGAAUUGGCGGGGGAGCACCACAAGGGGUGAAGCCUGCGGUUCAAUUGGAUUCAACGCCGGA
rnacentral:rRNA from 1 species